GACGAACGCUGGCGGCGUGCCUAAUACAUGCAAGUAGAACGCUGAAGGAGGAGCUUGCUUCUCUGGAUGAGUUGCGAACGGGUGAGUAACGCGUAGGUAACCUGCCUGGUAGCGGGGGAUAACUAUUGGAAACGAUAGCUAAUACCGCAUAAGAGUAGAUGUUGCAUGACAUUUGCUUAAAAGUUGCAAUUGCAUCACUACCAGAUGGACCUGCGUUGUAUUAGCUUGUUGGUGAGGUAACGGCUCACCAAGGCGACGAUACAUAGCCGACCUGAGAUGGUGAGCAGCCACACUGGGACGGAGACACGGCCCAGAGUGCUACGGGAGGCAGCAGUAGGGAAUCGUCGGCAAUGGACGGAAGACUGAGCGAGCAACGCCGCGUGAGUGAGGAGGGUUGUCGGGUCGUAGAGCUCUGUUGUAAGAUAAGAACGAGUGUGAGAGUGGAAAGUACACACUGUGACGGUAUCUUACCAGAAAGGGACGGCUAACUACGUG
rnacentral:rRNA from 1 species